AGCGGAGUGACGAGCAAUGGAAGCUCACUUGGCUCAUAACCAAGAGUAUGCAGGUUCGAGUCCUGUUUCCGCAA
rnacentral:tRNA from 3 species